rnacentral:rRNA from 1 species
GAUGAACGCUAGCGGCAGGCUUAAUACAUGCAAGUCGAGGGGCAUCAAGGUACACGAAAGUGUAUUGUUGGCGACCGGCGGACGGGUGAGUAAUAGGUAGGUAACCUACCUCAUACUGAGGCAUAGCUGGGAGAAAUUCCAGGUAAUUCCUCAUGAGGUUAUAUGACACAUGUGAUAUAAUCAAAGGUAUCGCAAGGUACUGGUAUGAGAUGGGCUUACUGACCAUUAGCUAGUUGGUGAGAUAAGAGCUCACCAAGGCGAAGAUGGUUAGGGGUUUUGAGAGAGAGAUCCCCCACAUUGGAACUGAGAUACGGUCCAGACUCCUACGGGAGGCAGCAGUGAGGAAUAUUGGUCAAUGGACAGAAGUCUGAACCAGCCAAGUCGCGUGAAGGAAGACGGCCUUAUGGGUUGUAAACUUCUUUACUACGCGAAUAGAGGUUAGUACGAGAUACUAAUAGGAAGGUAGUGUAGUAAAAGCACCGGCUAACUCCGUG